UCAUGGACGAGAGUCUGAACCAGCCAAGUAGCGUGAAGGAUGACUGCCCUAUGGGUUGUAAACUUCUUUUAUACGGGAAUAAAGUGAGGCACGUGUGCCUUUUUGUAUGUACCGUAUGAAUAAGGAUCGGCUAACUCCGUGCCAGCAGCCGCGGUAAUACGGAGGAUCCGAGCGUUAUCCGGAUUUAUUGGGUUUAAAGGGAGCGUAGGCGGACGCUUAAGUCAGUUGUGAAAGUUUGCGGCUCAACCGUAAAAUUGCAGUUGAUACUGGGUGUCUUGAGUACAGUAGAGGCAGGCGGAAUUCGUGGUGUAGCGGUGAAAUGCUUAGAUAUCACGAAGAACUCCGAUUGCGAAGGCAGCCUGCUGGACUGUAACUGACGCUGAUGCUCGAAAGUGUGGGUAUCAAACAGGAUUAGAUACCCUGGUAGUCCAAGGGCGAAUUC
rnacentral:rRNA from 1 species